GCGGGGAUGGCGAAAUGGUAUACGCGCCUGAUUUAGGAUCAGGAUUCUAUGAGUUCGAAUUGCUCUCUCCGUA
rnacentral:tRNA from 1 species